rnacentral:rRNA from 1 species
AAGUUCCAACAACGGAUCUCUUGGCUCUCGCAUCGAUGAAGAACGCAGCGAAAUGCGAUAAGUAAUGUGAAUUGCAGAAUUCAGUGAAUCAUCGAAUCUUUGAACGCACCUUGCGCUCCUUGGUAUUCCUUGGAGCAUGCCUGUUUGAGUAUCA